AGAAAUUAGCAGUAGAGGAGCACCACAUUGAGUUCAAGUGGAACCUUCACGUGGCUCUCUGUGCAGCCCAGAGAAGCAAGCUCGAAAAGGGCAUCAAACACCACUUCAAAUUUCCGGAAGACGGAUCCAAUGAGUUUGGUCACACUAAGCGGAGGUACUCUAACAUCCAACUACUGUUGAGAGAGGGGCCUCCGUGUUCAGAUUUCAAACGAGUUGACGGGUAUGAGAGAGAACAGUUCUUCUUGGAUAAGUUAAGGAAGAGGAGAAUUCUCCAUUCUUGGUAGAAGAAAGUUUUUUAUGACAAAUCAGACGAAGGAAACGUGAAGAAUGAAGUGGAGCUGUCCGCAUUGAUUGAAAAUUAAUUUGAUUUUUUGAUGCCCAAAAAAUAGAAAUUUAAAACUUA